UCCGCAGAGUUGCUGACGAGGUGCGUC
rnacentral:piRNA from 1 species